GACGAACGCUGGCGGCGCGCUUACACAUGCAAUUCGAGCGAAGCGGCGGACGGGUGAGUAACGCGUGAGUAACCUGCCCCCCUCUCUGGGAUAACAGUUGGAAACGGCUGCUAAUACCGGAUCGGGGGGGAUGGACUCGCGUCCUAUCAGCUUGUUGGUGGGGUAGUGGCCUACCAAGGCGACGACGGGUAGCCGGCCUGGGAGGGCGACCGGCCACAUUGGUACUGAGAUACGGCCCAAACUCCUACGGGGGGCAGCAGUGGGUAAUAUUGCACAAUGGGGGAAACCCUGAUGCAGAAACGCCGCGUGCGGGAUGACGGCCUUCGGGUUGUAAACCGCUUUCAGCCAUGACGCGGUAGUGGCAGAAGAAGCACCGGCUAACUACGUGCCAGCAGCCGCGGUAAUUC
rnacentral:rRNA from 1 species